GCUCAGAUUGAACGCUGGCGGCAGGCCUAACACAUGCAAGUCGAGCGGCAGCACAGAGAAACUUGUUUCUCGGGUGGCGAGCGGCGGACGGGUGAGUAAUGCCUGGGAAAUUGCCCUGAUGUGGGGGAUAACCAUUGGAAACGAUGGCUAAUACCGCAUGAUGCCUACGGGCCAAAGAGGGGGACCUUCGGGCCUCUCGCGUCAGGAUAUGCCCAGGUGGGAUUAGCUAGUUGGUGAGGUAAGGGCUCACCAAGGCGACGAUCCCUAGCUGGUCUGAGAGGAUGAUCAGCCACACUGGAACUGAGACACGGUCCAGACUCCUACGGGAGGCAGCAGUGGGGAAUAUUGCACAAUGGGCGCAAGCCUGAUGCAGCCAUGCCGCGUGUGUGAAGAAGGCCUUCGGGUUGUAAAGCACUUUCAGUUGUGAGGAAGGUGGUGUUGUGAAUAGCAGCAUCAUUUGACGUUAGCAACAGAAGAAGCACCGGCUAACUCCGUGCCAGCAGCCGCGGUAAUACGGAGGGUGCGAGCGUUAAUCGGAAUUACUGGGCGUAAAGCGCAUGCAGGUGGUUUGUUAAGUCAGAUGUGAAAGCCCCGGGCUCAACCUGGGAAUUGCAUUUGAAACUGGCAAACUAGAGUACUGUAGAGGGGGGUAGAAUUUCAGGUGUAGCGGUGAAAUGCGUAGAGAUC
rnacentral:rRNA from 1 species